CGCGGGGGAGGAGAUCGCUAAUUGAGACUGCAAGGGAACGUUGUGGAUGCCACCCACGGGAGUACUAAUGAAACAUCGUACAUGACUACUACCAGGAGAACCAGAGUAUAGAGGGGGAGGAGCCGCCUGCCAUGGCCCAGCAAGGUGCACUGUAUUCGGGCACACGCUCCGAGCAGCCCCUGUGCCGCCCUGGAGGCAGGUUCUCCUGAAGGUGCCAGCAUCACGGAAGGAACUUACUCGUGGCGCCGACCACGGGACAUCAGCACAACAAAGACACCCAACAAGACUCGACCGGGUAACAUCUAGGCAGCGCUAACCAUAGCCACGGAAAGGGACCGCAAAGCAUGCUGGGUACUCCCCCCAAGAUUUCCAUAGGUUGUAACCUUUGGCCGGUUAAGCAAAGAUCUCGACAUCAUCCAGCAUCCUCGGCCACAGAUGAAGCGCAGUACGUCAUAUUUCCCAUUCAACAGGAAGUAGAAGAGCAAAGUGUAGGAAAGACCCAAAUCCACAGCUUAGCAGACAAAUCAAAGCCAGUUAAGACGCCGACGUUGUGAUGUUCAUCCCCGCGUUGGUGUCAGCAGGCUCCUCCAUCAUGCCGUCCAUCCACACGUCGGCUUCACAAGGACAGCCUGGGAUUUAUCGCCGUGAAUCAGCGGUCGCACGCGCACACACGAAGCGCGGCCUCGACUGGCCGACCCGCACGUUUGAUUAAUCUCACCGAAAGAAGACACGGCUAACUUUGUUAGCGUGGGAUUACACGGCAGCGCUACACGGGCGCCGCAGUACGUGAAGGUGAUGGAACGCGUAGCAACAUCACGCUUUAACCACGCCUUUCAAGUCCUAAUUAGAAGAAUGAUGCCACCAUUUUGUGCUAACUUGGGUCAUUUCAUUCAUUAUUAUAUUGAUUUCAUAUUGACACUUUUGACAUAUUAUCCUUAUUAUUUCUAUGAAAUAUCACUCUCUCACUGCAGUAUAUCAUCCUUCCAUCCAUUUUCAUAGCUAUGGACAAUUUAGUCACGCUAUCGUGGUUUUGCAAAAGCAGGAAUAAAUGAAGGUUGUUUCAUGGUUAUGGUUAUGGCCUAUUAUGACUCCAACAAUAUUGAAGUUAUAUGUUUAUGUGCAUACUACAAGUUAUAUGUGGAGCUGGGGUCACGGCCAUCAGUACUGGCAGAAUAGCAUCCCUUUUCAAAAUGCCAAAUGCUUAUUUUGAAGGUGUUGGCAGCCAUCAGUGAAAUGAUCACUGCAAAGAACAGAACUGUGUACUUCCUUCUGUGUACUAACUUCCUGUAUUGCUGUCUUAAAGCUUCCACUUUUGGGAAAGAAAACAAACUUCCAGUAUGACUGGGAUACUGUGAACAUCCAGCAGCAACGCAACAUUUUGGCGCGACUACUGUUUGUAUCCAAAACUGAAGUCCAGCACGGACCUGGAGGAGCAUGUGUCUACUCUGCUUGAGCUGCGAGGUGUCACCCACCCCACGGAAGGAAUGGAAUGAAUGGAAGGAGACUGGGUGAAGAUGUCGGUGGCGUAGAAGCCGAGUGAGUCAGCCAUUCACAGCGCCCAUUGAUUUGGAGGGGGUGUCGGACAGAGAAAGAUGCUCCUGAGGUUAAUCUUGGAAUCAAUUUUUUGGAGCACAUCUUUUCUCCUCACUCUCUCGUCGGCACGAAACCACACACACACUUUGGGAGGGCCUCACGUGGCGCGUGGCACGGGUGGGAUCUGCAUCCAAACACGGCCAGCGUGCUAGUAUCAGGAGACAGACGCACUGAUGUCUCAUGGGGACCAAAGGGAAGUGGCAGUGCCUUGCACAAGGGCACUUUGCACACCUCGCAGUAUUCCACAAAGGGAAGACGGGAAGUUUGCAGCUUGUUCAUGUCAUUAGGCUGUACAGUCAAGGCCUCUUCAUGAACAUGAAGGAAGGACAGUAGCGGGAUCCAGAAUCCAGGAUCCAGGAUCCAGGAUCCAGGAUCCAGGAUCCAGGAUCCAGGAUCCAGGAUCCAUAUCUGUAGUGGUAGGUCACACCAAUGAAUCCCACAACAUUAAAAACAGCUCAGAUAAUCCACCAUUGAGACAACAACGCACUCCUUUUUUCUCCCGCCUGCGACGGAAUUUCCCUGCUGCCCUUGAGCUAAACAUCCACUUUCACCAAAUGCUCCCCAUGAGGGAACAAGACUAAACAAAAACCGAUUCAAGUAAAGAACGCAAAUAUCGGCUCGAUAUAUCAGCCAGCUUUUAUUUGAAAAGUGCAAAAACUUUCCCGAGACCUCCGUGGCCUCACAGCAGCCACUUGGAGCGUGUGCCCGAAUACAGUGCACCUUGCUGGGCCACAGUAGGCGCCACCUCCCCCUCUAUACUCUGGUUCUCCUGGUAGUAGUCAUGUUGUGAUGUUUCAUCCUCCAGUCCUUCCUACCGCCGGCUACACGCUACACUUACGUCUACAUUUGGAAAAGUACAUCAAAAGUAUUAUCGGUAUCAUAUUGGUCUUGAGAAGAACAAUGUUCAUCACUACUAAGUUUGUGAAACUUGGUCUUAUUUUGCACUGAGCCAAUUCAAGCUGUUCUGCACCGAUGGUGCUCCCGUGGCCAAGCCAGCUAAGAGCCUCUGCUACAGAAUAGAGGAUCUUUGACAAGCGGUCUCGCUCCCAGUCAUAGAGGAUCUUUGGUGUUUUUUGGCAUGUUAAAACCAGCAGAGUGGUGCUACCGUGGAGGAGACCUUUGCUCUUUUCAUCCAUGACUUUAUUUGUUGAGCCGGACGUGAGAAGGUACGCGUGUCAGAGAACCACAACCUUUGUAGCUUUGAGAAGAUGUGAAGAAGAGAAGAUUGGCAGCCAUCACUGGCAUUGACGUGCAGCAUGAUAUGAUGGUCACCAUCUCCAUAGCUUCCCUCCCGGCCACGCAUGCACACAAACGCCACCGCGUCUCCAUGGCGAUGGGGGCCCUUCCCAUGCUGUACGACACCCAAUCAGGCUACCAUGUACGGAAUCCCAGGCCUUUCAACGGAACGCCACAAGGAGAGACUGCUCGCAUCCUUCCUCUUCCACAUGCUGCAUCGCCAUCGGCAAAACAAAACCAUCGUGCACGGAAUGUGGGCCUGCACGGCGUCCACAUGCUGACAUGGUUCACAGUGACCCGGUGCACCAUGCAGGGGGGGGGGGGUAAAGCAUUCUCUACAUUUGAAAGCAGAUAAGUGCCUCUUACCCUUGGAAGCAUCCUUGUCUUCUUUAGGCUUCGCCACUUUUCCGCUCAUAGAUCCCAGUUUGGAUGCGUAAUUCCCGAUUGAGGCAAGAAUUCCCUGGAUGGCCGGCUCUGUCCUCAAUCAAAUCCUUCCCAAGGAGUCCAGGUGCGGAGAUAAGGCUUCUGUGGAGAGUGGCGGAGGGCAAACAUUCACACCAAUUGCUGAUUUUACGCACAAAGAGGAGGCGAUCAUGGAGCCCCCCCCCCCUUCUCUCUCUCUCUCCUGUGCGUGGUGGGGGGGUUCGAGCGGGGAAAACAAACCGUGUGAUAAUGACGAUGAUGAUGAUGGUGGUGAUGCUGCCAUAUGUCACACAAACACACGCACACGCACGCCAACAUGCGUGGCAGAUAUCCUACCUUAUCUCGUCCGCGCUGUGCGCCUCAUCAACGCACAUGGAUGGACGCUCCCGCCAUCAGGCUUGCAUGGACGACCAGCCUGCACGA